UGUUUCGAGCCAUUUCACAUUUUAAGAGAUACUGAUCAAUAAUGUGGUGAUAUUUGAAGAUACAGAAAUAUUUGAAAGCAGAACAGAGCAACGAUCCAAAUGGAAAAAAUGUUUUGACGAAGUGGAACACAAAAUACAUAGACAAUUAGUAUAUCUAGUCCAGCAAAUCGCUUUAAAAAUAUCUUAAGAGAACCAUUCAUGAUUAAACCCGUCUAAAGAAAAUAUAUGAAAUAUAAUAAUUAUCCGGAGAUUAAUAAGCUUCGUUAAUAGGAGAUUUGUAAAAUUGGUUGCCUACUACACAGACUGUAAAUUAUUAUAAUAAUAGGCGCCGAUUUGUAAAAUUCAAAAAAUCUACAUAUCGACGGUGAGCUGGCAAUAAUAAUGUCCUAUAUGUACAACUAAUGUAUUUUACAGGAGCAAGAAAAAUAAUUCUAUUUGGAAAAUAUUAAAUAUAGAGACGAAUAAAAAAAUAUGUAUCUAA
rnacentral:lncRNA from 1 species